rnacentral:rRNA from 1 species
UACGUAGGAUGCAAGCGUUGUCCGGAAUUAUUGGGCGUAAAGAGCGCGCAGGCGGUCUGCCAAGUCAGAUGUGAAAGAGGCCGGCUUAACCGGCAAGGGUCAUUUGAAACUGACAGACUAGAGUGCAGCAGAGGAUAGCGGAAUUCCCGGUGUAGUGGUGAAAUGCGCAGAUAUCGGGAAGAACACCCGUGGCGAAGGCGGCUCUCUGGGACGGUACUGACGCUGAGACGCGAAAGCGUGGGGAGCGAACAGG